UGGUGUUGUGCUGAUUGUUUUCUCUUGAUGAAUGUUAAAUGGGUGAAAAAUGCACAGGUUCAAUCAUUGGUUGAUUAUGAUAUUGUUAGCUUCGGUUGAUAGAAACCAAGGCUAAAGAUGGAUUUAGUAUUAGUUGGCAUUAACUGAGGUGAAAAACUAGAUUUAGCCUUGGUUAUUGAGAAAUGAGGUUAAAAGCUGAAUUUAACCUCGGUUGAUGCUAAAAGAGGCUAAAUCCAUCUUUAGCUUUGGUUUUGCCUCAGUUACCCAAACUGAGGCUGCAACUCCCAUGGCUAAAGGCUUUAGCCUUGGUUGUAGAAAACUGAGGUUAAAAAUAGAUUUAGCUUCGGUUGGAGGUAACUGAGGCUAAAAUUUGGAUUUAGUCUCAGUUGGAACUUUUAGCUUCACUUGAAGAACCGAGAUUAUAAAAGCUUUUUUAGCCUCGGUUGCUAAAACCGAGGCUAAAGCCUUUAGCCAUGGGGGUUCCAACCUCGGUUAGGAUAAUUGAGGCAAAAAUGAGGCUAAAGGCUUUAGCCUCAGUUUUUAUCCUUUUUAGUUACAGUUUUGAACUGAAGCUAAGGGCAGUUUUGGUUGUAGUGACAGUAGCAAGUAAGAAGGGAUGCAAACCAUGUAACAAGGAGACUACAUUUCAUCUUAUCCUCUUGAUUUCGGAAAACCAUGACCAAGGAAUCAGUUGUUUUUGCUGGUGAAUGCUUGAGUCUUGUAGUUCUGCUGCACACACUGUCACACGCAAGUAAAUGUCAGAAAGAUGUUAUGAAUUUACCAUUGGAAGCAUCUAAACAGGAACCCAUAAUUUGUCCAGCUUAAUUUGAAUUACAUGUAUGCAAUUUUUAACUAAUUUCUAACUGUCUGUGCAUCAUCCACCACUCUGCCAGAGUGUCAGCUAAGUCCAUGAUUAUAUGAAAAUUGUAAAUAUUGAGGUUUGAAUUCCUUAUUAUUUCAAAAUAGGGAACUUUCCCAUUUGGAACUUAGUUUGUAUAGUUGGGGCCAUGAUUGGUAUAUCCUAGACAUUGGCUAGAGUAGAGCAACCGUGGGUGCCAGUCCACAUCUGCAAACUAAGCUCUGCACAGGAAAGUUCCCUGUUUGGAAUGAAUAGGGAACUAACUCGGCCUCCUCUAUAUUAUAUUUCUAUAAAUUACCAAUGUGUCAACGAAAAGUUUAUUUGAUAUGAAAAAGUAUACUGUUUCUACAUCAUUCGUAGUUCACCAAAUUCCCACUUACAUUCUUAACAAUAAAGUGAGUCUGCAAAAAUGAUUUCAAAGUUAUAAUUUCUAAACGAAACUAUUCUUCAAAUUAUCUAUCAUCCAGGCUGAUUCAGUUGCAUGCAGUGAGUUUUCAGAUGAGUAUGGCACCUUUUUAGCCAUUAUUGUUUUGUGCAAAUCUUCUAUUCCUGUUUGUUGAAGAAAAUAUCGUACUAAAUAUUAUAUGUUAUGAAUUUACUGAUCUAAACAUACUAUGUACUUGGUUUAGUCUUGCAUUAUCCAUUUUGUAAAUGUUUCCAUCAACUUGUUUGUUUAUCUGCAUUAUGACAAUAAAGAAUCUGUGCCCCAUAUUCUAUUGAUGUCUUGUUGAAUUCAGUGGUCAUCUUCAUUACACUUCUAUGUCGGAUUGGUGUAGACCAGCUCAGGAAUGAUGCGUUUGCAUAAUUUGUUUUGAGAACUGAUUGCGUGCAGGCAAAUAUACCACAACUGGUGGGGUACUGUACGAUCUUUCCUUCCAAAAUGCCACUUGUGUAGGACAUCAAAAUGAUAGGCCCCACCAUGAGGAUUAUGCUUCUAGAAAACCCAAGCUGAUUCACUCACUAUAUUGACCACACCUUAAUGUCGAGUCAGACUGUCUGUUUCCGAUUGAUUACAGUGGUAUGUCCAUCUGAUGCAUGAAAAGGACAUUUUUGUUCCAACUUUCAAGUGAUCUUCCUGGUGGGUCCUAUUGCAUUCACAGUGUUAAUGCCACACAAGUGGUAUGUUUGUGCCAAAGAUGGUACGGUGCCACAAGUUGUGGUGAAAGUGCAAACGUGGGAAUAAUUCUUUCAUUUUGUUUUCUGCUGCAGGUCUCCUCGGAGAUAUUUUCUCCCUAAUUCACUGUUCACAAGAUCUUGGAGACCAGGGUAUCGGUUGUUAUUGCUGGUGAAUGCUUGAGAUUUCUGAUUUUCCUGAACACAAUGUCACACGCAAGUGAAUGUCAGGAAGAUGUUAUGGGCGUGCUUGGUCUGUGGAAUUGAAUGGAUAUCAUCUGAGAUUAAAGCUACUCAGGGCGAGAAUGCAACUCAGGUGAAAUCCACAUGUUCAUCUACAUUUCCAAUCGUCAAGAUACCAUUGCAGAUGGACAAAGAGCCUCAAGAUAAUGUUUUAGAACCGGUGACAACUCGUCCCAACACUAUUAGCAUGGAAAAAGGUGGAGGAGGUGAAGAAGAUGAUGAUGAUUAGGAUGCAUUUCAGUCUUUUCCUGCUGAUAACACUUGUAUUGCUGCUCAUCUAGAAGUAG